rnacentral:rRNA from 1 species
CAGUAGCCGCGGUAAUACAGAGGGUGCGAGCGUUAAUCGGAUUUACUGGGCGUAAAGCGUGCGUAGGCGGCUUCUUAAGUCGGAUGUGAAAUCUUUGAGCUUAACUUAGGAAUUGCAUUCGAUACUGGGAAGCUAGAGUAUGGGAGAGGAUGGUAGAAUUCCAGGUGUAGCGGUGAAAUGCGUAGAGAUCUGGAGGAAUACCGAUGGCGAAGGCAGCCAUCUGGCCUAAUACUGACGCUGAGGUACGAAAGCAUGGGGAGCAAACAGGAUUAGAUACCCCCGUAGUCCCUGUCUCUUAUAU